UACUGGCCUGUAAAAUCUUUAA
rnacentral:miRNA from 1 species